rnacentral:lncRNA from 1 species
AAUGAGAGCAGCAAUGUCUGAUUUUCUUCCAACCGAUGUAAGGUCCCAAAUCUUAUUGAGGCUACCCUUGAAGUCUCUUUUGCUCUGCUCUAGAGUCUGCAAAUCCUGGCACACACUCAUAACAAGCCAUAGUUUCAUUUAUACCCACCUCAAACACAACAUUCUGAACAAUCAAGAUCAAUCAACUGAUAUUUUUGUCAAUCUUGGAAGUAUAUAUUUGUGGAACCCUUCUAUCAAGAAAGUUAUUGCAGUCCCAACAUCCAUGUUUUCGUACACAGAAUGUAGUUACAAUAUUUUUGUUCUUGGGUUUGGUUAUGAUGCUUGCCACAAAAGAUUUGUACCUUUACAUUUACCACAUAAUAUAAUUUAAACAAAAAGAAAGGAAAGAAAAAUUAAAAAUGAUAUUCAGCUUUCUUCCCAACCCCCCACCUAUACUCACGCAUCUGUCUCUGCCACCGGUCAGUAAGAAGAAAUAUAUAGAUAACAUGGAUAUCGUUGGCUUUGGAAAUGGUUGUGCCUCCAACAUACGAAUCUACCUAUUUUUCAUCCAAUUGAAAGUACCUAAUCUUCGUUCAUCUCUGGCUCAAAUGUGACUAGGUUUUAACAAGAGUUCUCAACCCAAAAUUCCAAAAUCCCUUUCUCUGGCCAUAGUUUUGGAGUGAGUUAUCGACAAAGGCAGAGAAUAUGGCCGGAGUCUGAUCGUACAUCAUUGUCAAAUUCAAGAGCCAUUCUUUGUUCAAUCUUAGUUUUUUCUUAAUCUCUAACGCUUAAUUUGAGAUGAAUUGAAUGACACGACCUCGUGUGCAAUCCAAAUUCAUUUUUCACUGGAGGUUGAAUGGGAGCACGACUUUUAUACAUAGGUGGUGGCAUGACUUUAAUACCUACGAUAAUACCAUGUUAACCAUCUCAUCUAAAAGUUUAACUUAAUAGAGAGGGACUCAUUUUUUAUUUAUAUUUUCCUCCAACAAUUAAGAGUAUGUUUUCAUCUCUUAAAUAAUUUUUAUUUAUUUAUUAUUAUUAUUAUUAUUAUUUUUUUUCAUGCAGGUUGUCCAAGGAAAAUGUUGAUGGGAUUUGCCUGUUGAUAUGCUCUUUAGAGGUUGCUGUCUUAAAAUUUUAAGCUAGAUUUGAAGAAAUAUUUAGAAAUUAAUUCUUCAAAACAUCUCUUCUACUUUCUGUUUUAAUAAUAUUGACACAUUCGUAAUGUUAUGUUCUGAAAUAGUGGUUUAUUCAUCUCUUAUCCAAAUGGCUACCACAUGUGAUUUUAAUAAAAAUAGUUUUGGCACUUAGAAAACUUGAG